rnacentral:lncRNA from 1 species
GCUCUGUCUAUGAAUAAUGAAUAAUGAUCAAGGGGUGCCUCCUCCAGGGGCCAGGGGGUCUGGUUAUAUAGUCUUUUCAGAUGAAUCUGGGCCGUCGGAUCAAACCGACAUUGAUCGUGUGGGUUUCCUUGAAGUAUUAGGUCGGUGGAGCAUGAUCCGCGAAGUUGAAGCUGAUUGGUUACUGUAGCUGGGCGGGCACCCAAGGGACUUGGGCGGGCGCCCUGCCCCCGGGCCCAAUCGGCCUCCCGUUCGUUCCCGUGGCUUCUAGAAUCUUCUAGAUGGUAGAAAAUUGCGCGGCACGUUAAUAUCUCUAUGUAAACCCGACAUGUGGGCCUUUCCUUCAUAUUUCCUGAUAACCCCCCUGCAGAAAUAGACAAACACCAAAACUCAUGGAAUUCUGUCAGAUAAAACCCUAAGUCUGGGUGUUGGUUGCAUUUGGAUCCUUUUCUUUGUUUAUUUGAUAGUGAAAUUUGAUACUUAAGGACCGUCAACACUUGAUCUAAAGUCUAAGUCGUUAACGGAUAUGAUAUGGGAAGGUUGAGCUGCUAUUUAUCUGUUCCUAGAGAUGCUAGAAUUCUGGAGAAUUUUAUCUUUGAAAAUCUUUAAAAUAACACAUGAUGAGUUCCUGUAUGAUGAGAGUUUAAAAUCCUACCACAGCCAUAUAUACAUGCUUAUUAGACUUUGAGCCACACAUUUACUUUUUACUGCUUAUGAGCAUUGAGUGUGGUCAAGCUGUGUAGACCCUUAGGAGCUUGUCAUGCGGUUAAAAUCAAGAUUCACUUGCACGUUCACUCACACAUGCUGCUUCUACUCCAGAAGUACGCAUCCACAUACAUCCACUCAUUCUCAUCUCCAGAGCCACCCAAAAGUAUUCUACUCCUAAUUCGAGAGAGAAUAGCUAAAAACAUUCCUAUCCCUGUUUUUUCCUAUGAAAUAAAUGCUCGAGUUAUCUUGGUUACUACCACUUGCUAUAUUAUUCAGGAGAUGAGUGCUCUAAAAAAAGAGAAGAAAAAAAAAGAAAAAAAAUAAAAUACGAGGAAAUAAAAAGGGGCAAGUGCCUGGAACCUCGAAGAAAAGAAAGAGUGAGACGAGAGGUAAAAAUGGACAAGUGUCCGACAGUAGAAUUAGGGGUACAAGAUACUCACCUGAGAGGAAAGAAAAAGAAAAUAUAGAGCAUCUCAUUCUCCUCAAAAAGCUUCAAAAUGCAAGAAAGGUAUGUAUCCCCUUAAAAGAGCAAAAGUAGAAUUCGAUUUUCACCAUUGUUAUCACCAUCAUCACCAUACACCAUUCACUCGCCACACAUGCACAUCUUGAUUUGACUUAUUGACUUGUUCUUCUGGAUCCAUGAUUUGACUAUGCAAUAAAUGUCUUGUAAGUAUGUAUUAGCUGUCUCCCACCUAUGAGCUCCAGAUAUCAAAACCUUAUUAGAGUAGGGUGAGAGAGAAGGCAAUAUCACUAUGCCUCAUACCACAAAUACUACAUACUUUGAGAGAAGGCAUAUAUCAUCACUGCCUUAGUGAGGAUUCAGAAAUACCACAAAAGAGAGAUCUAAGAGAGUCAUACAAGGAAUCUCUGAGUUUUAUUUGAAAAUCUGCAAAAACUCCAGAGCUAUAGCUGAUCAAGAAUAAGAGACAUGGCGCUUGACUUGACCGUUCUAUCUUUUAACUGCUCAAGACACAGGUAACGGUUACAAAUCCCAUGGUAAAAGGUAAAAUGAGUAAGUUUUAAGUCUUAACAGUUUGUUCUAACUCAGAGAUGAGACCUUGCUUGAAUGCGUGUGUACUUUUAAAGCACGAAACCACUCCAGAAACUCUUGAGUUCAUCCUUGCUCAGGGACGAGCAAGAGGUAAGCUUGGGGAAGUUGUUGACGGUCCUUAAGUACCAAAUAUAAUCAUCAAAUAAAUAAAGAAAAGGAUCCAAAUGCAACCAACACCCAGACUUAGGGUUUUAUCUGACAGAAUUCCACGAGUUUGGUGUUUGUCUAUUUCUGUAGGGGGUUAUUAGGAAAUAUGGAAGAAAGGCCCACACGUCGAGAUUACAUAGAGAUAUUAACGUGCCGCGCAAUUUUCUAUCAUUUAGAAGACUCCAAAAGCCACGGGAACGAACGAGAAGGCGAACGGGCCCGGGGGCAGGGCGCCCGCCCAGGAGUUGUAGUCAAACACGUCCAACUUUGCGGACCAAGCUCCACCGACCUAAAGGAACAAGGAUAACCGUCCAAUCAAUGUCGGUUUGAUCCAAUGGCUCAUGUUCACUUGAUGUAACAUCCCUGAUGUUACGAACACUAAAAACGGAUCAUGUCAUCAUAAGCAUUGCAAAGCAUAAUUGUUGAGCACAUUUUGAUGCAUCAACUUAAAAUGAGUUUAAUUUUGUUGAAUGUGCUUAGGGAAUUAAAGUGUGUUUAUCUUGUAUCAUAAUGCUUGAGUUGGUUGUUAAAAACCCUAGGGUGAAAAAUUUCCGAAGGCUUAGGGGGGGAAAACCCUGAUUUCUGGACCCUAGAAUUGCCCCUUUUUGUGCAAUUCAAAAACUAAGCAAAAUUUGGAGAUGAGUUCAAAAGCAAAGUUGUAGAUCUUGUCAAGAUGUACAACUUUGGUGUUUUGAGUUUUUGAAGUUUCAAUACAAAAUUCAAAGUAAUUUUGAAAAUACAGAUUUCCAGAAAGUGUCCCCUUUUCCAAAUUAAACCUCCAAUUCAAAAUCCAUUUGGAAUUUUGAAAAGUGGUCAACAUGAAAGUUGUAGUGCACAAAAAGUUGAGCAACUUUCAUGUUGGGAAUUUUUCAAGUUGUUUGGAAAAAUCAAAAGUAAUUUUAGAAUUUCUAUUCUGUCCCAAUUCAAACCAGAUUUGCCCCCAAAUUGAAUUUUUGAAUUUCAAAGUGUUUCCCCUAAAUUCAUGCCCUUACACUCAAAAUCAGUUCUGGACUUUUAAAUAUGUUUUGUAGCUUAUAAAAUUUGGAACAACUUUUGUUUUGACACAAAUUUGACUCCAGUUCAAAUUUUGGCUGAAUUUCACAAAGUUCAGAAAAGAGGGGAUAAGGGUCUGCUACAGUGACCCGAUAGGGAUCACCGGCUCCCUGUCCAGCACGGCCGCCGCGCGCGCAGCGCCGCGUGCGCGCGUGUAGGCACGCAGCCUGCCUGCCUGCUAGCGUUGCCAGGCAACGUGGACGCCCUAGGCUCGUUCCCUUCUCCCCUUUGGGCACCAGCGUGGGCGCCGCCGCGCGUUUCCUUCGUCCUGAGCUAGAGAACCCCGACGAGCUUCCCUCCUCAAUUCGCCAUAACCACUCCUUCCUGAGCCAAAUUGAGCAACCCAGAGUCUCCGUCACCUUCGUGCGAACCCAGUGCACCCCCAAGCUCCCUCUCUAACCCCCUCAAACGCCAGAGCUCCUCCCUCUUCUCCAACUCCGGCCAAGACCGCCGCCGCGGAGCUCUUCCUGUGGCCACGGGGUUCCAGUGAGUAUCACACCCCGCUGGCGACUGUUUCACGUUCCUUCCGUGCCCCGGUUGCUCAUGCUCUCGCUCCCUCUCCUUGAAUGUGAGCAGGAUCGCCGGAACGAGCUUGCUGGAGCCAGAGCUCCCGCCCGACGACACUGCUUCUGUCGCCAGCGGCUUCAGCUGCUUCCCCGAGCCUUGCAGCGUGAGCACCACCCUCCCCAACCCCUGUGGAAGCUCGCUAGGCCGUCGGCUUGCACUCUACCGGGCCCUAGCGGCCAGCCGAGGGUCGGCCAUGGCGGCCGCCCGCCCUUCUCGUGACCGAGGUGGGGGAGGUAGGGUAGAGCGUGGGUAGGAGGUGUCUACAGGGUCGCGGAGUUGAGGUGAAGCCGAUGCGCACGCGCACUCUGGCUGAGACCCUCGCCAACGGCGGCCGGAGCCGUGGCCAAACCGCCGUGCGCGGUGAGGACGCAGCUGACGGGUGGGGUCGCCCCGUCAGCGUCCCGCUGAGAGAGGGCCUGACGAGCGGGACCCGCUCGUCAGUGACCGCUCAGAGAGGGGGGGGCAGCGCGCGCAGUCCGCGUGGGCCGAGAGCGCUCGGGCCAGAGUGGGCCGUGCCCAAGCGGGCCGCUGCGCAGGAGUGUUGUUUUUCUUUUUCCUUUUUGAUUAAAAAUACUUGAUGUUUGAAUUUAUGUUAUAAAGUGUGUAGUGCUCCAAAAAUGAUGAAAAUUUUUGUAUAGAUCCUGUGAAAUAGUUAGAACCUAGGAAAAAUAUUAAGCCCUAUUUUCUGAUAGUUUGUAAGGUUAUAAAAAUUGGCUCUUUUAAUUAGCAAAUAAAACUUUGAUGAAUUUUAAUAAUUUAUUAGUAUGUCCAAAAAUCAUCAAAAAUUGUGGGAUGCCUCUGAAUAUUAUUUCCAGGCUUCACGCAAAUUUUGGUGACAUUUGGAUAAUGUUUGGAUAGAAUAUUAAUAAACUCUUAUUUAGUAAUUAAAUAAUAAUUCCAAGAUAAUUAGAUAGUGAUUAGUGGAAUCCUCACAAUUAGGGUUGAGUGAUUUUGGGAUUAUGUGAUGACCUGAGGUCAUUAACCCUAAUGACCUUUGGCAUUUAAUUAUUGUUUGGCCUUAAUUACUGUCAUUAGUGAUUAAUUAAGAGUUAAUUAAGGUAAAUAGGAUUAAUGAUUAGUUAAUUUAAGAUAAUUAUGAAUUAAGAAAAGUCUUAAUUUACAGAUGCAACCUCUUGGGUAAAAACAUUAAGGUGUUAAACAACUUUAUUUAUUGGUUAUUCUGUAUUGCACCGAGAAAGCAAGUUGUACUCGACUUGAUCCUUCUUGCAUAAUUGUCAUACGCAUAUCAUGAGCAUUCAUCAUUUUGCGUAUAGCGUCCGUGACCGAAGGAGCGCCCGUUGAACCGAACCCCGAGGUCGGUGCUCCGUUCGAAGAAGUCGGAUCCGAGACUUGGGAAGUCUCCGAGAGUCCCUCUCUGCCCUGCAACCAAGGCAAGCCCCGGAUGCAUUAACCCCCCUUGAAUGUUUUAAAUCUUUUAUCACUUAUGAAUUGAAAAUGCUGCAUUAGGUAGUUGAGAAUUGGGUUAACCUACUUGCUGCAUUUACUACCUUGAUAUCUGUUAUCCUGUCCUUGACACCUGUUUAUUUUAAAACUGCGUAGUAAUGCUUAGCCCUGCUACUAGAUAGGUUUUCAAAUAAGAAAGUUUGAAGGGUUGUUGUGGAAUACAUUUAUGAUCAAUGAUGUUUUAAUCUGAGACCGGUCGGUGGACUUGCUUUAAGAAUGGAGUCUUAAAGUAGUGUCUCCAACUAUGUCGAUUAAGGACCGGUCCGUUGAUGGCCCGCUGGGUUGAGAAUUUAUAGUACUAGCCACUUGCCCUCGGCAAGCCCGGUCUUGUGAUCCCUCGACGUGAACAGCUACUCGCGCACUGGGAGUGGAAAGAUGGCGAGAGUAGUGUGUACCCACCUUACGGAUCUGAGAUGACCGGAAAACAUCUAGAUCGGCUGUAGGAUGGUGGAGUACUGUGCUCUCGGGUGCCGCGAACCUGGUCAAAUUUAGGGAGAGCUUGAUUUGGGUUGACAUAUGCAAGUUUUGGUUCUACAUAUGUCGGGUGGUUAGGAACUCCAGCUGGAUUGCUAAGUGGUUCGAAUCGUCGUUGCACCCCGAUUGGGAGACUCAAUCCACUGCCCCUCAUCAUAGUUAAUUAUGCAACUAAUUGGUAAAAUGAGAAAGGGGGAAAUGUCUCAUGAGGUUCGGAUCCCAAUUCCCGGACUCAUAGCGACAUGAAGCUAUGGCCAUCAAAUAAAUGAUACUUUAAUUUAGGACUAGAAACUCACAGACUUGUCUGUGGGGAAGCAACUAGGUAGACUGUCCUCGAACUCCUCGGCCUCGACGGGAGAGGAAUUCGCAGGUAAAACUUGAAAGUAAGGAUGCACUAUUAGUAAGCUUUAUAGCAAAACACUUUGGCUCCUUGCUCAGCCACUCCUUGUCUACCCUAAGCCUGCAUUCCUAAGUUCUCCUCUUUUUCCACCGGGUAAGUCUUGUUGAGUACUCCCGUACUCAGGGUUCCAAUACCCCUGUUGCAGGUGAAGCUCAGGAACCGACUUGUUUCGGACCCUGUUGUGUGACCGUCGUCGAGGUUGACGAUGAAGAAGAGUGAGCGUGACCCAUGGGCAGGGUCUGUAAAUUUGUGAUCUCUGUACUAAAGUUUAAGUUGCUCCGCUGGACCAGGCAUGUAAUAACACUCUGCUAUUUGGAAGAACUCCUUCUGUAAAAUAAGAUAUGUAAUACUUCCGCUGUUUUACUCUGAAAUAUUAUUUUGGCCGUAUGUCGUUUGUGGUACUGCAUUGUCUUCGCAACGAAUGAUCCUGGUGUUAAGGUGGCCACUUGCUAUCCUAUAAGGGCGAGAAGAAGAAGUUCUCGUUAAUUGACCAUCACCAGUGGUCAGGACGAGCCGGCUUGGCACGCCACAGGUAGCAGUGGAAUGAGCGUCCAGCGAUGCUCAUCGGACUUCUAAAGUGGGAGGAUCCCCGGCACCACCGUCAGAGGUCCUUAGGACAAUGACAGGUGUCGGUGGGCCCAAACACUUAGGGGGUUCUGCCACAGCUGGUAUCAGAGCAUUCGUUGCUAAGAUAACUGCUGAACCUCUUGAAAAACUUCAAAAUUCCUUUGGAUCCAAUACUAUAAACCUACCUAUUUUGAGUCCAAGUGCUUAGUCCUAACUUACCCCUGUCUAUAGGCUUCCUUAGAAUUUUUGAAGUGGUAUGGAGGAGCAACAUAGAGUAUUGCCCUAUGUUGUAAAAAUUUAAAGUAAUAAUGUUACGAAUUGUUAGUAGGAAUCGUAAGUUCGUGCAUGCAUCAUGAUGUAUUAACUGGUUAAGUUCCUUCCUCCUUGUUUGGGUUGGGUGAAUAGAAUCAAUCCUAUUCUUGCUAACCUUUAAGGUCUCUCUUACUAAUCCAAACUUACCCUCUACAGGAUGGCUCGUCAGAAGCAGACCCCGCGUAAGAGGACAGGUCCAAAAGGAGUUCCCCGACAUCAGCUGGCUCCACGCAGCGAUCAAGCCAGCAGUAGCCGUUCACCGCCUCAGCAGGAGGUGGACAGGUUGUCCGCCGAGUUGACUGAGGUGAUGAGAGAAAGAAUGUACAAUGUUAUGGAGAUCGGCAAACUUAAAGCUCAACUAGCCAAAGAAAAACAAGCUACAGAGAACUGUGAGGCUAUGUUGUCCCGGAUGGUGGAGGAGAGGAAUGCCUCCAUUGCCCGAGAGGAAGAAGCUAGGAGCACACACAGGCAUGAGCUGAGUAGGAUGAAUGCAAAGCUGGGCAAGGCCAGGUAUCUUAAGGAUUUGUACGUGAAGAUGGCGGCCACGGUCACCGCACAGCGGGAUGUCGCGUGGCAGCGAGAGGACCAGCUCCAAUUGGAGAAGCUGGAGCUGGCACAUCACUUAGAUACCGUUAAUGACUUGGCAAUGCAAUAUCGUGAUAUUGCAUUUGAUCUGUAUCAUCAGCUCCACCCACCUCCAGGCGAAGGAGAAAUGGAUACGGAUGGCGAGUUGGCAGACGAUGGGGAAUCCGAUCCAGGCCUCAGUGAUGAAGAGGAGUCCGACCCCGAUGACAACAACCCAGGGGGUAAUCAGGAUGAUGGCAAUGACGACCUGGGCUACAGCUCUGGCCACACCGAUUAGUUCGGUGGAACCGCGGACAACGUCAUUGUCGGAGUCCUAGCUUGCCGUAGUGGGGUUCGGGUUUGUAAUAUAAGUUUUCUUUUGGUUUGAGAAGUUGUAUUUGUUUGUUCCUGGUAUGUCGAACUAAUGUUUAAUAAAGGGAAGAAUGUAAGAUAUGUUCUGUGUUAUGAAUUUCACGUGGUAACAGGUAUCUACGAUUCUUGUAACAGAUGCCGAUGCGUACACGCGGAUCUGAUGGAGCUGGGACAUCUCAGGGAGGGGAUGAUAUCCCCAACCCUCCACCUGCUCCACCUUCUUUGGCUGACGCCAUUGCUGUUUUGUUAAGUGCCACUACUGACAACGCUCGCUUGCUGCGCGAGCUAGCACAGCGUCAACCACACCCCGCCCCAAACUUCAGGGCACCGCGCAACGGGGACGGAGAGACUCGGUAUGUGGACUUUACCGAGACCAGGCCCCCGGUGUUCACUAAGGUCGAUGAGCCUUUAGAAGCGGAUGACUGGCUCCGAACCAUGGAGCAUAAGUUCAGUUUGAUUCAGUGUUCAGAAACUCAGAAGCCCCUGUUCGCAGCUCAGCAGCUUCGGGGAGCUGCAGGUGCCUGGUGGGAGAACUUCUUAGCUAUCCAAGCUCCCGGACACCAGGUCACCUGGACCGAGUUUAAGGACGCAUUCUGCGCCCAUUACAUUCCGGAAGGGCUCAUGGCCAUGAAGGCCGAAGAGUUUCUCGCCUUGCAGCAAGGCGAUAAAAGUGUUAUGGAGUACGUGGCAAGGUUUAAUCAUCUCUCUCAAUAUGCCACGGACCAUGUGAACACAGAUAGAAAGAAGAAAGCCUGCUUCAUGCGUGGUCUAAAUACUAAACUUCAGACCAUGAUGACCACCUGCCAAAAUGCUACCUUCUAUGAGGCGGUAAAUAUUGCCAUCGCCUCAGAGGAAAAGAAUAGAAAGCAUAAAGAAGCCAAGAAGAAGGCUGCUUCUUCCUCUUUCUCUGGUCGCGGUCAAAAGCGUCAGAGAAUCAUUUACCAUCCGCAGGGCCACGGACGCUUCCAAGCGCCGUCACCUUAUCGUGGUCCUUUCUCCCCCCACAGUAUAAACCAGGGCAGCAGGUAUACUCUCGACCUACUGCCAUCGCUUUCGCACCACGCCAGCCGAACGCCCCAGGUGUUCGCCCCACUGCUCUGCCCAGCCACAAUUACCCUUGCUUCAAUUGUGGUAAACCUGGGCAUUUCUCUAAAGAGUGCCCUUUUCCCCGCCAAACCAACCCUACCUUCCAAAGGCCGCCUAUGGGCCAACCCCAGCCGAAUCAAUUCAGGGCUGGGGCUCUAAAGGGACAAAAUGUGCAAAAGGGGAAACCAGCGAAGAAAGUGGGACAAGUCUUCCAUAUGGAAGUGGAGACGAUUCCAGAGGGUGAACCAGUAAUGAUGGGUACGUUCCCUGUCGCGAAACAUCCUGCUUUAAUGCUCUUUGAUUCUGGUGCAUCUCAUACAUUCAUCAAUCGCACCUUUGUGUUAAAGCAUGGCAUACCCAUUGGGGAAACACAAGAUCAUUUUUAUAUACAGUCGCCAGGAGGACGGCUGAUGUCCAAAGAAAUGGUUCACCAAGUACCCAUCGAAUUUGGUGGGCAUAAUUUUCCCACUAGCAUGAUUGUUCUUAAGGACCAAGAGAUUGAUGUCAUCUUAGGCAUGAACUGGAUGGCACAACGAGGGGUUGUGCUAGACACUUUGCAUCGAACCAUUAAAAUCUCAUUGCCCAAUGAGAAUUCUUAUUUGCUAAUUCAAUUAGUUACUCCCAAGCGGACAAUUGGGCAAGUUCAUGCCGCUAAUGUGUCUGAAGUCAAAGAUAUCCCGGUAGUUCGGGAUUUUCCGGAUGUAUUUCCUGAAGACCUACCAGGUCUGCCUCCGGACCGGGAUGUACAAUUCAGUAUAGAAUUGAAACCAGGGACGGCCCCAAUAUCUCGAAGGGCCUACAGAAUGGCACCGAAAGAGCUGGCCGAAUUAAAAACCCAAUUACAAGAGCUGUUGCAAAAAGGUUUUAUUCAGCCCAGUUCUUCUCCAUGGGGUUGCCCAGCCUUGUUUGUGAAAAAGAAAGAUCAAACAUUAAGGCUGUGUGUCGACUAUCGUCCCCUAAAUGAGGUGACGAUUAAGAACAAGUACCCAUUGCCCCGCAUUGACUUAUUGUUUGACCAGCUAGCUGGGGCCAAAGUAUUCUCGAAAAUUGAUUUGAGAUCAGGGUACCACCAAAUUAAAAUUAGGCCGGAAGAUGUGCCCAAGACAGCUUUUACAACCCGUUACGGGCUGUAUGAACACUUGGUGAUGUCCUUUGGGUUGACCAAUGCACCGACCCAUUUCAUGUACCUGAUGAACUCUGUCUUCAUGCCAGAACUAGACAAAUUUGUUGUAGUCUUUAUUGAUGACAUUUUGAUUUACUCCAAGACUAAGAAAGAACAUGCUGAACAUUUGAGGGUCGUGCUGACUCGUCUCAGGGAGCAUCAGCUAUACGCCAAGUUCAGCAAAUGUGAGUUCUGGCUGGACAAAGUCCAUUUCCUGGGUCAUGUAUUAUCAGCGGAAGGAGUCGCUGUAGACCCAGGCAAGGUAGAAGACGUGUUGAAUUGGAAACCCCCGACUACGGUACAUGAGGUCCGUAGUUUUCUCGGUAUGGCGGGAUAUUACCGUCGUUUUAUCCCGGACUUUUCCAGAGUCGCCAAACCAAUCACAACCUUGCUCAAAAAUCAAACAAAAUUUGUUUGGUCACCCCAAUGUGAGCAAGCCUUUCAGACUCUGAAAAGGUUGUUGACAACUGCACGUGUCUUAGCCCAGCCAGAUAUUGAAAAACCCUUUGAUGUGUAUUGUGACGCAUCAGGGAUCGGGAUAGGCUGUGUGCUAAAGCAGGAGGGUCGCUGUUGGGUAUUCUUAACAUCAUUACCAAAAGUAGACUAAGUUCUCUAAAUCUAGCAACGGUGCCAAAAAUGCCAAACCUAUCCCUUACACCACUUAAGCCAAGUUGUCAUCCCCAGCAUGAUAUAAGAGACGCGGUAUUGAAAUAUGCAAUUGCUCUUCUAAAUAACUAAUGAAUGGGAUCUGCAAGCGCACAGAUUAAUACCGAUGUAGCAUUUUAACCGGGAAGUAUUCCAGGUAUCGUUAUUUAUAUUUUUACCACUGGGAAGGGAUUAGCGAUCAUCAAUAUUGAUUACAGAAUAGCAUAUGAGAUUGAGCAUCUAUCAUUGCAUGUAUAAUUGAGAACAUUAUAUCUAACUCUUCAUACAAGGAUAAGUGUCACAUAAAAGAUAUAUAAAAUAAUAAUAGUGACAAGGAUAACUAAUCUGAUCUAGCCACAUAAUAAAUAUGAUAAGCACCUCAAUUAGAUACUCUAGAAAGUCAUUAGCAUGGUAUUAGAACGAACUACAAGAAUAUUCCCUAAGUUAUUCUUAACUAUAUAGUCUAGCAUAUAAUAGUUAGUGCAAGCAUACUUAGCAAUCAUUGCUAGACAAGACUACGCCCAUGCAUAGUGAUAUUAGCAAGGAAUAUGAGAAACAUAGCAAUCACUCCCCUGUAAUAAUGUUGCUCUGCCAGCCCAAUACACGAGAGGGGGACUAUAUAAGAAUCAAUGAAGCUGUCACUAUCACGAACUACCCCACGAUCUGGCAUAUUGGGUACAAUCGCAGAUAAAUACGGUAUAAGCACCACGCCUACACAAUAUCUAUCAUUUACCCAUGGAUCCGAUGGAUAAACGCUAUACGAUCCUAAGCAUGUAUAUAGAUCGUAUCUAACUAAGCCAAGUACAUAACUAUGAUAAACUAAGAACAAUAUAAUCUUGAAUAUAAGCAAGUAGAGCAAAGUCAUAAGCAAUAUAUUGAAGUAGAACAAAGUUAUAUUCAUAAUAUUGAAGAACAAAGAUAAUUAGAAAGCAAUUAGAAGAACAAUUAGAAAAUUACCAAGAAUCCUCCUGACAGAUCCGGAAACCAAUCGAAGAUUGACUCCUUCUAGUUCUAAUCCUAUGUAGCUAUGCUAAUCUAGAUAUCUAAUUGAUGUGGUGGCUCUAAUCUUGAUCAGAGGCUUCUUCUCCCUUGAUGGAACAAUGAAUUAGGGUUGAGAGGCUCUCUCCUCCAGGGGCCAGGGGGUCUGGUUUUAUAGUCCCUUCAAGUGAAUAUGGGUCCUUGGAUCAAACCGACAUAGAUUGUAUGGUUUAGAUUCAUCCUUUAGGUCGGUGGAAAUCUCCCGCGAAGCAGAGUCCUGAUUGGACUCCUGGAGGGGGCGGGCGCCCAGGGCAGGAGGGCGGGCGCCCUGCCUCUGGCCCCGUUUCGCCUCCGCUUCGGUCUCGUGGCUUCUGGAGUCUUCUAGAUGUAAGAUAAUUGCGCAGCACGUUAAUAUCUUUACGUAAUCCUGACAUGUGGGUCUUUCUUCCAUAUUUCCUGAUAACUCCCUGCAGAAAUAGAUAAACACCAAAACUCGUGGAAUUCUGUCAGAUAAAACCCUAAGUCUGGAUCUUGUUUUCAUUUGGAUCCUUUUCUUUAUUUAUUUGACAAUUAAAUUUGAUACUUAAGGACCGUCAACAAACUCCCCCAAGCUUACCUCUUGCUCGUCCCUGAGCAAGGAUAGACUCAGCUAUGGAUCAUAAGUUGCAAUAUUUUAAAAAUUUGACGGUACACAUGCUUUUUAAAUAAGAUCUUAUCUCUGAGUUAGAGUAAACUGUCAAGACUUAAAACUUACUUUACCUCCACUAUGGGACUUGUAGCUGUCACUUCUAUCUUGAGUGGUUAAAAGAUAGAACAGUCUAGCCAAGUGCCAUGUCUCUUAUUCUUGAUCAGCUAUAGCUCUGGGGUUUUUGCAGAUUUUCAAAUAAAACUCAGAAAUUCCUUGUAUGAUUCUCUCAGGUCUCUCUUUUGUGGUAUUUCUGGAUCCUUACCAAGGCAGUGAUGGUAUAUGCCUUCUCUCAAGAUAUGUGGUAUUUGUGGUAUGAGGCAUAGUGACAUUGCCUUCUCUCUCUCACCCUACUCUAAUAAGGCUUUAAUAUCUGGAGCUCAUAGGGGGGAGAUAAGGUAUACAUACUUACAAGACAUUUAUUGUAUAGUCAAACCAUGGAUCCAAAGUAACAAGUCAAUAAGUUUAAUCAAGAUGUGCAUGUGUGGCGAAUGAAUGGUGUAUGGUGAUGAUAACAAUGGUGAAAAUAAUGGUGGUGGAAGUCUAAUUCUACUUUGCUCUUUAAGGGGAUACAUACCUUCCUUGCUUUUGAAACUUUAUGAUGAGAAUGAGAUGCUCUAUCUUUUUUUCUUUUCUCUCAGGUGGGUAUAUUGUACCCCUAAUUCUACUGUCGGACACUUGUCCAUUUUUACCUCUCGUCUCACUUUUUCUUUUCUUUCGAGGUUCCGAGCACUUGCUCCUUUUUAUUUCCUCGUAUUAUUUUUUCUUUUUCUCUCUCUUUUUUUUUCAGAGCAUUCAUCUCUUAAGAUAAUAUAGCAAGUGGUAGUAGCAAGAUAACUUGAGCAUUUAUUUCACAAGGGGAAAACAGAAAUAUUUUUGGUUAUUCUCUCCCGGAUUAGGAGUAGAAUAUUUUUGGGUGGUUUUGGAGAUGGAAAUGAGUGGAUAUAUGUGGAUGGUACUUCCGGAGUAGAAGUAGCAUAUAUGAGUGAACGUGUAAGUGAAAUCUUGAUUUAACCACAUGACAAGCUCCUAAGGGUCUACACAGCUUGACCACACUCAAUGCUCAUAAGCAGUAAAUAAUAAAUGUGUGGCUCAAAGUCUAGCAAGCAUGUAUAUAUGGCUGUGGUAGGAAUUUAAACUCUCAUCAUACAGGAACUCAUCAUGCAACAUUUUAAAGAUUUUCAAAGAUAAAAUUCUCCAGAAUUCUAGCAUCUCUAGGAACAGAUAAACAGCAGCUCAACCUUCCCAUAUCGUAUCCGUUAACAACUUAGACUUCAGAUCAAGUUUUCAUCCCACAAGUUUAGGUCUAGAGCAAGCUUUAAAUUAUAACAGUUAUAUCUAAACUUGAGAGAAAACUUAAAAUGUGCAAAUUAGGCGGAGCAACUAUUCAUCAUAUCCAUGCUUAAGUUUUAUUUAGAUAUAGAUUAGCAUAGCCACUUUAUUUAUUUAUUAAACACACUAAGCAAAAUAUAUAUAAGCAUAAACUCUUUAUUUGGUUUUUCAUAGUUUAUGUGUAUUUAUAUUCUAAAAUAAUAUAAGUAUAAAGAUAGAUAGAUAGAAAUACUUAUCGGGAUAAAUGGGGGUGCUCUCCCCCAAGCUGAAUUUUGACGUAAUUUCUCUUGAUGUAGCUAACAGGUGGCAGAGGUGUAUUUGAAAGUCAGCAGCAUUCUGACAGCGAUUAGAAUGUCCUCCGUCUGCUAGUCUUCUUGAUUCUUAAAUUCUGUGGAUCUCAAAUAGACAACAAAGCUUGUGGAACUGAUUAAGUGUUAGCAUAAAUAUCUAGCCUUUAUUAUCUUGAGACUCCUUAAUAAAUUUUACUCCCUGUUUUUAUAUUUUUGUUUUUAUAAAGCAGAAAAAUAUUUAUUUUAUUUUUACGCCACCACAGUGAAUGUACUUAUGGGUUUUAUGCCACUCGUCUACUCACAUGGGGCUUAUUGUUUUUCACAUUUUUAUUUUCUUUUUAAGACAGCAUGAGCAUUUUUAACUAAGUAAACUAUUUAAAAUAACUGAAAGGGAAAGGGUAACUACCAAGUUUACCUCUUGGCAAGGCGUUCGGUGUUUUUAAGUCCUCCGAACGGGACUCUCCAAUUUCUUAAUCGUCCUGAGGUUCGUUGGGUGGCGUAGUCGGUACUUCCGGCAGCGCCUCCUCUUCUUGUAUAGUUAUCUUCAUUUUCCACACCUGACUUGGUGCUUCAAUCUCCUCUGGAUAAUUCUGUUUAAACUCAACGUCUUCUGACCUUACAACUUCUCCUUCAUAGUCUGCCCAUCCAUCCUGGACGAUCUGCCUCCUCUGGUUGCGGUUGCGUCUCUUUCUGACCUGCUUAAAUUCGUCAACGAUAUAGUUAGGGUCAGUAAAAUAACGACGUACCUUCUCUGAGGGGAAGUGCAUAUGGACUUCUCCGGGUCCAAUGUAGAUAAUUGCUUUAACGGUGCUGAGGAACGGUCUUCCAAGGAUGAUGGGUGGAUCGUACUCGUCUUCUCCCAUGUCAACAACUUGAAAGUCAGUGUAGACAAAGUGAUCGUCUAUUUUGACUGGGACAUCAGAUACUAUUCCUUUGACUUCUCGAAAUGUCUGAUCUGCCAUCUGGAGUUGAAUGUAAGUUGGUCUUAGUGGCAUGGUCCCGAAUAAGAGUCGAUAGGUGACAGCGGCCAUUAUGUUGACGCCCGAUCCGGUGUCGCAAAUUGUCUUGUAGAAGUUGUAUCCAUUUAUGGAGCAGUAGAUGCUUGGCAUUCCUGGGUCGUCCUUCUUGGUCAAGAACGGUGACUUAAGUUGGUGAUCUUGGCCUCCAUGGACUACAGUGACCAUCUUAGCUGACUCGGUCCACACUUGCUUGUUCCUGUUUCUCCUGUUGGUCCUCUUCCUUGAUUUACGUCUGGAUUGAUCUUGAAUUUGUGUAGUCUUGUUCUUGAAGAAAAAUAUCUCCUUCUUCCCUUUGACGUAGAAACUGAUCUUGGCAGCACUGGCGUAGAUGAUAGCUCCCGUGGUGUUCAAGAAUGGCCUUCCUAGGAUGAUAGGUGCUCUCUCAUCAUUUCCGGUCUCUACCACUACGAAGUCUGCUGGGGCAUAUAAGGUACCAACUCGGACACAAAGGUUCCUCACGAUUCCUUUUGGAAAUGUUAUCGUCUGAUCUGCAAACUGCAAACACAUGGUUGUCUCUAAUAAAGGAUAUGUAAAGAAUUU